CGGGCUAGACAACAGAGGACACCCUUAGAAAUAAGGUCUUCCCUUCGGGGACCUCUGGUUCAGGUGCUGCAUGGCUGUCGUCAGCUCGUGUCGUGAGAUGUUGGGUUAAGUCCCGCAACGAGCGCAACCCUUGCCUCUAGUUGCCAUCAUUUAGUUGGGCACUCUAGAGGGACUGCCCGUGUCAAACGGGAGGAAGGUGGGGAUGACGUUCGUCUGACC
rnacentral:misc_RNA from 1 species